GGGAUAAACGCUGAAAGCAUCUAAGUGUGAAGCCCACCUCAAGAUGAGAUUUCCCAUUUCUUUAAGAAAGUAAGAUCCCUGAGAGAUGAUCAGGUAGAUAGGUCAGGAGUGGAAGUACAGUGAUGUAUGGAGCGGACUGAUACUAAUCGAUCGAGGACUUAACCAAU
rnacentral:rRNA from 1 species